rnacentral:lncRNA from 11 species
CACAGGAACCUUUCCUUGCAUUUGAGUCUCCUUCUUUCUCUCCGCAGGCAAGAGCAAUGCGGGCCAUCAGCAGGAUCGUCUGCCACAUCAAGGACAGCACUCGCGUGGAGGGGUGGUUUCCUGGAGCUUCUGCUCGCCUUGGUGACCAACUUCAUCGAGGUCACAAGGCCUGGGUUGGAGGCACCCAGAAGGAAUCAGAACAACAGCUCCAGAGUAAGGAGAGAGUGGGGAGGAAGGGUUUGUGGGACUCCCAGCCCUUUUGUGGGGGGCUGAAGGGGGACUCAGACCCUUCACUGAUAAGUAAGCCUUUUUCUUUCUUUCUUUUUCAGAGAACUGGCGAAGAUCAUCAUCGUGCUAGUGAAGAGGGUGGCUUCGGUGUCCUUCAACAAGACCUCUGAGAGGAUGAUAGAAGAACCAAGCAUCUGCCCCGAGGGAAUGGCCCUCCAGUUGCAGUAAGGAGUUAAGGGCUGGUGGAGAUUCAGGGAGGAGGCCCAGCUUGUUCUCUCUGGCUGGGUUCCCUCACAGGGGUCUCCCUUAUCUUCCAGGAGACUCCUCAAGUCCUCCUCCUCCCUACUCGUGCACCUACUUUCCACCUGGGAGAAAGAAGCGCCGCUGGAGCAUUCGGUCAGCGUGGUGGCCUUCUACAUCCAGCUGCUGCAGAUUGUCCAAUGCCCACACUCCUCAGAGAAGACCUGGGCACUGCUGACGGCCUGGCUCCAACAUCGCAGCCUGGCCAUUCAACAUCAGAGCAGGCAGGGCUUUCUCCUCCUCUGCAAGAUCUACAGGGAGACCAUGGGCCUUCAGGAGCUCCUGGACGGGAUCUUCGGGGGAAUGCAAUCACCCACACCAACAUCACUGUGGAGUUCCUGACCUUGGCUGGCUGGCUGGGCCCCCUGCUAUAUAAGGAAGACCGGGCACUUGCGAAGCGUCACCUGACUGCCAGGUGCCUCCUUCUCUUCCACCAUGAGGCGGCCAAGAUCCGGAAGGCAGCCCUAGAAUGCUUCCAGCAUUUUCUCUGGCACCCGGUACAUCCCCUUGAGGAGCGCCAGACCAUCAAUGGCCUCCUGGCGGUGCUAAUGCAUGUGGAGGAUGAAGAUGAGGAGGUGACCAAGACUGCAAGGGAGACCCUCAAGGAGGCAGCGGAGGUCCUGCGAUGGCACCUGAAGGACAGCGUUCUGGCGGAGGACACCUUCAGCCUGCAGGAGCUGCUUCACAAGAUCUCCAAGUGCUUGGUCUGUGCGCACCCUGACACCUGGGAGUCAAGGGGGACAUGCCCGGUGGGCGGAAGGAGCCUUCUUUUUGACCCCGGUCUCUUCUCCAGAUCCAUCACUGCAGCCCCAGGAGAGAGGUGGAGGAGCAGGUGUAUGGCUGCCUGCGUUUCUUUAAAAGCCAACGUCCAUCGGCAAAGAAGGUGGUGGCCAUGUUGCUCAGUAAGAUACCGGGAAGGUCUUGACCCCCUUCAUGCCCAUCC